AAAAGGGUUGCCUCCAGUGAUUCCCACUGUCUCCCAGUGUGAUUCUCACUGUCUCUUGAAAUCGGAGGCAGGAGUUUGGCCCAGAGGAAGAAAGUGUCCCGCUCCUGGCCAGUAGCACGAGUGCAGGAGCGGCAUGGAUGUGCCCUGGUCAAGAGCCUCGCUGCGCCCGAGAGGUCAGAACAGAGGGACCCAUGGUGGUCCCACACACCCCAAAGCCUUCCUGACUGGGAGUGCCCUGCAGUAAUUGUCCUGAAUGAGGAGCCAGGGCAGAGGGUCCUUCCGUGGUGUUUGGAGGAACUCCCACCCUGGGGAGCAUGUGGAAAUCAGGCAUCUUGUCGGAAGAGGCCGGGGCUCCUCUGGUUGAAGUCAGGUCCGCCAGCUGCUGAGGACCAAAGCUCUUGCUCUGCUGGGCUGCAGGGCUUUCAUGUUGCACUUCUGAAAGAUAAUAAAAUAUCAAUCGCUUUGCCGUAGCAACGGGUUUAAGAGACUUUCUGAAGUAUUGAAUCGUCAGAAAAAAUUUUUUUUUUUUUUUUUGCUUUUAAGCACAGUGCAUUAUUAAUAAGGUAAUCCAUUAGGUCGAGCAGCGAAGGGCCACCACAGAGAGGAGAGAUCUGUUUUGCAAACGGUUAAACUUCAGGUUUUAAGAUUAAUUGCUUUCAUUCGGAUGCUUGCUCUUGGCCUAGGCAGCUCCACUUUACUGGAACUCAGGGUCCUGCCUUUCUACAUGCCGUCGGGCCUGCCUGUCAGCAACGGAAGCCCAGCUCCAACUUUCGUGGAGAAACAGCCCUUCUUCCCCUGGCACCUGCUCUUGGGCUGGCACCAGGCUGUGGGCUCUCCGGGGAGGUUUGCAGCCCCAGGGGAGCAAGGGGAGUUACAGCCCUGAGUCCUGAGAGUCAAAUUAGCCCUCACGCUGUAGGAGAAAAGGCCCUUGAGCAGGGGCAGGCAGCAGAGGGUCUGAGCAGCCCCAAGAACUGUGAGAGCCUUGGGUUGUGAGGGACAGGGGAGGAUGCCAAGGGCACCCCCAAGGGGUGUCCCCAGAUGCAUGCUGCAGAAGGGUAGGUCUGGGUGUAAGCUGCCUCUGCAGAGGCCCAGCAGGAGGGCUGGGGUGACCACAGGAAGCAGCAGGCAGGCUGUGGAACUAAACAUCAGACCUAAUUCCUAGGGCAUUUUUAAUAAGUUAAAAACACCUAAAGGUAUUGGAGCUGGGCUGAGGAGGACCAGACAGUGCACCUUCAGUUGUUAGCGACUACUGUGAGUGCAGCGUCCACAGCUGACUCAGUUGAUCCGCGAGGGCAGGCUCUCAGCUGUGCUUGGGUACUGACCAGCGGGACCUCCCAGAAUAUCCCGUCAUGCUCUGGGCCACAGAGGGUACUGGCGGCCUCUCCUGUGGCCAGGACCCCUCCACAGCCCUGGGGGGAAGGCAGGGAGUGGGCCCUGAUGCUGUUCCACACUACAGAUCCCAGCCCAUCAGCAGGACGGCAGAGCCCAGUGGACACUGCUGCCUGCUGAGGGCUGGUAAAGGCCUUGUGAGGUUGGCAGGGUAGGGACCAGGCCUGGCACCCACUGUAUGCCUAGAAGAGGAAGGUCUCCAUCUGCACCUACCAGGCCAGCCCGGGCUGCAGCCGCCUCCUCACUACAGGGAAGCAAGUCAUCACAGAACCUGAGCAGCACGUACAGCCGUGUCCCCUUCCUGCCUCAACUCAGCCAGGCAGGGAGCCUGUGAAGAUGGGUCUCCCCAACCCGCUCCCAGAGCCUGGGGUAAAAAAGCAGGUGCUUCUGUCUGUUCCCUGCUCUUCCAUUCAUCUGCCCACGCAGAGCACUAAGGGUCGGGGUGGGGGGGAGGACAGGGAAACAACAUAAAUUGGUCUGUCGUCCAGAAUCCGUGUCUCGCUAAUGUACCCAGAUUAACUCAACUGUAAAUUGUCUCCUCGGAUGGCAGUGUCUUGCUAAAAGUUUCCCAUAUGAUUCAUGAUUUGGAUUGCUUUUAACGGCUAUUGGCUAAGCAAGCCAGUGACUGUACAAGGUGAUGCAAUUGGCAUUAGCAAGGGGAGGCACGGGAGCGUGUAAUGCAGUCAAUACUGCAUUAACUACUGAUGCCCAAUUACAGGGAGUGGGAGAGAGCCUUUUGGGAGCAUUAGGACUGGGGGAAGCUGAGAUCACUGGCCGCUGCUCGCCUAAAAGCUUCACCCUUUGCGUGCCGGGGCUCAGUGCUGGCCUGGCCACUCACUUGGCCUCUGUGGCCAUAGGAACUCACUCACUCUCUCUCUCUCUCUCUCUCUCUCUCUCUCUCUCUCUCUCUCUCUCUCUCUCUCUCUCUCUCUCGUCCCACAAUGAUGCUUUUAGCACAUGGAAAUGUUCAUUUUCCUAGAGCCGGGGCCUGCCUCUCAUCCCUCCUGAGAAUUGAUUUCCUACCCCACUCCAGGUCCCAGAGUCAGAUGGGGCGGCUGCCCCACCCACUUCCAUUUAAGGAACCACUCAGCAGGCCCUAUCUGAGAGUAGGACCAAGGGGAGGUCUAUUUCGGUCUCUCCCCCUUGGAACAGAUGGACGAUUGCCAGCAAGCAUUGGCGGCCGACCUUCUGUGGCCGAAGGAGACACAAGGUUUAGCCUCAGUGCAACUGCGCUGCUGGGGCAGGCAAGGCUGCUGGACCUGGGAGGUAGUCCUGGCUGGGCCUUCUGAGCAGAAGACAGAGAUCGAGAGGCUGAUGGCGGAGUGACCCAAGCCAGGUUGGGGUUCUCAGCAGACGCAGGCCCCCUCCAGAGCUGCAUCGACACAGGGCAGAGCUGCCCGCAUGUAGCCAGGAGACCAAAGCUGUAGUUGGGGUCCAUCUCCAGGGGCCAGAGGGCCUCCCAGGAACCCCGAUCAGACACAUUAGGAAGUUUGGAAGGAGUUAGGGGACAAAGUAGAAAAAAGCACCUGGGUACCCCAGUGUGGCAAGUACCAUGGGACUGGGACUGGUUUAGCUACUGUAGUGCUAAACUGUGCGGGUCCAGCACAUCCACUGUAGUUCUGUGUCCUGUGCCCACCCAAUGUUGAGAUUGCUUUGCCUCUAUGCCUUCUCAUCUCUACAGUGAGAAUGACCACAUCUAACCGGCACGAUUGUUAUUAGGAUUAAAUGAGAUAAUGUCCACGUACACCCUCGAUAAACCAGGAAGCCUCGUGCGUGUGUGAAGUGACAGUGCUCUCUACACAGCCACAGUAUGAUCUGAAAUAGUCCUGUGCCCAGUUCAGUGCCUUGCUCACUGCCAGGCACUGGGUCCUAACCUUCCUUCUUCUAGUUUAUCCCUAAUGGCCCUCAGUGGCCACUGUCCAGGAAGCAGGGUAGACUCACUACUCACCACUGUCCAGAUUUCCAAGGAGGGAGGCACCAUGGGAAGAAGGCUCUAAAAUCGCUCUCUGCAAGCCCUUCCAUUUAUAUGGCAUGGUUGGGGCUCAAAGUGGGCAAGAGAGUUGCCCAGGGUUAUGUAGGGAGUUAGAGCCCAGAGCUACUGCAUCUUUCAGUGUUCCAUGCCCGGCUUCCGUGCCCUCUGCCUGUACCCAAAACAUGAUAAGGCUGAAUGGUAGAAAUCUCCGAUGAGGAGAAAUGUCAGUUGGACCAAGGCCAUGUGUCUGGGCAUCCUACUCCCGGCCCUACUGACAGCUCAGGGCUCAUGGUUCCGUCCUCAGAUGUAGAUCCUCCUGGCGGGCGUUGAUGGUUGCUAACGUGGCCUGAGCCUUCACGGACUGGAGAAGCCCCAGAGGUGCAUGUGGCCUGUAGCCCUUGCUGCCUGCCUGCCCUACCUGGAGUUGAAAGACACUGAGGCACACAGGGCAUCCUUCCCCCCUCAGGCUGAACUUUUCGUGGUGCUGCUAGAGUGAGUUUUCCUGGUAGGUCUGUACUCAAGAUAGGACUACACCAGGGGAGUCAACUUGCACUGGCUUGCAAGAGCUGAUUUUGCACAUCUCUUCCCAGCUCUGAGUUCAGUGAUAUCACAUGGGUAGCUUGACAUCAGCCAUGGUGGAAGUAUGAACACCACGGAAACUGGCAAACGCUACACAUCAAGGGUUUUUUCCCCAGAGAAUCAGUUGUGAGCUAUCUGUCGGCACACCACUGGAUUGCAUUCAUCUGGGACGCUGGACCCAGCUCUUUCUGUUCUGCCACCACCCUUCUCCCAUCCCAUCUACCUCCUUUCAGAGGACCCAGUCUCUGCUACGCUGGCAUUCUGCCUGAGACCUGCUGCCACACUGAGCUGGGCAGGUCUAAUAUGUCCGCUCUGGUUUUGUGUCCCAUGCAGACCUGGCAUUUGCCUCUAUACCCUUGCUCACGUUGUCCCCUUGCCACAUCCUCUCCCCUUUGGUUGGCCUCGUAGGAGCCUACAGACUCCUGUAGGUCAAAGCCUCUUACAGACCAUUCUAGGUCCUGCUCAGAGUCACAUCCACCCAAGCUAGUAACAAGCUCAUCUCUCAGUGGUUGGAGUAUGUUUAUUUUGUGUUCUGGCUAAGGCAGGAGCCUACAGUGGCUGACAUAACUGGGGGCAAAUUAAAAGCAGAUGGUAGAGAAGAGUAAGCAGGCUGGUCCAGGUAGCCGAGGCAGAUGCCCCAGACUGCAGGCCUACUGGGUCAGAUUGGGCCCCUAGCUCUGCCUCCUGCCCCUUCCUAAGUGGGCUUACUUGAAUGGCCUACUGUCUUCAGGUGUAGCCUGCUAGCAUGAGUCAGGAGACCUGGCUUCUAGUCCCAGCUGACUGCUGUGUGACUUCAGACAACUUCCUGAGCCUCAGUUUUCACAUCUCUACAAUGGGAGCAACACCUAACUGACACCUAAUGUCCAUGUACACACUUGAUAGGCCUGGAGGCCUCAUGCCUAUAUGAAGUGACAGUGCUCUCUACACAGCUACAGGAUGGUCUCUUUGGCUUCGGCCUCUAAGUCUUUACACAACAGUUCUUGUUUCAGUGAACCCUUAGUUAAAAGUGAGCAUUGUACUGUGCAUGUGUAUCAGUUAGUUAUUGCUACAUAACCAACCACCCCAAAACUCAGAGGCUCAAAACAACAAGCAUCUAUUUAGCUUUCGAACCUGUGGGUCGGUGAUGCAGGCUGGGCUUGGCUAAGCGGUUUUUCGGGUCUCGGCUAGACUCACUCAUACCUGGGAGAUGGCUGAUCAGACUGGAUGCUGGGGGUAACGAGACUAUGUCCCUCAUCAUCCAGCAGGCUCUUCCAGAUUGUUCUCAGGCUGGAGGCAAGUCCAGGAGAGAGAAUGGACGCAUGUCUUCUUGAGACCUAGGCUUGGCUCUGGGAUGUUGCCACUUUACAUUCUGUUGGCCAAAAUAAAUCACAAGCCCAGCCCAAGUUCAAGGGAUGGGGAAACAGAUUCUGUCCUUGAAGGAAGGAGGUGAAAAGUCACAUUGCAAAGGGAGUGGAUAGGGGAAGAGGUAGAGAUGUGGUGCUGUGUGCAGGUCUCACAACUCGCAAGUCCAGGGCUGGGCUGGGCACCCAGGCCAUCUGCUCUCCUCUGUGCUCUGCCGGCUCCCAGCUCCCCCGUUGUGGCUGGCAGGCUUGCUGUUGGCGCACUUGUUGGGGGCUGACAUCAGAGCCCUGGCCCAUUCCUCCAUGGGCGAGCCUGGAGGGGGACCACAGUGAGGUCAGUCCCCGCUGCCUUCUCUGGCUUUUCCUCUGUCCUGCAAAGCCACCCAUCGGUUAGAAGGGGCGUGAAGCUCCGUGGUUCCCAGAGCUGAUUGAAACCUGGACAUACAUGCAGAUGCAGCCAGGCGAGAAUCAAUUCAUUGGUUAGCCCCUUGCCUCAAAGCAGGGCAGUAGGUGGGCUGGUGAGAGGCCCAUGUACAUUCAUAAACCAGCUGAUUGAAAAGCAAUAUUUCAGAUAAAUACAAGCCAGCGAUCUAUCAGUGGUUGUAAUAAAACCCAGGCUUCAGGCUGUGAUUUUAUUUUGAAAUAAUAAGAAUUGCUUGAUUCUUUUUACUUGAGUUACCAUGGUAAUUCCAGCGUGGAGCAGUGUUAUAUUGAUUUAGAAAGUGGACAGUAAUAUUUCUUUUGUGUUAUUCUGUUUCUAGGCCUUGAUUUCUAAUUUCCACUUGGAGAUUACUUUUAUAAAUUUCUUAAGUCCUUCCACUUUUUUUCCUCUCUCAGUAUAAUUUUCCUCUCAUACGCCGCUAUGUUCUGAGCUUAUUGGUUUGCUCUUAUUUUAAAUUAAACUUGCUGGUUUCAAAUAUUGAAAUGACAUCUUUGUGUCUGUACUUCGGUUUAGCAAAAUAUUACAGUCUGACGCUUUCCGCUUAAUAAUUUAAGGGAGGCAUUCUGUCGGCCCUCACUGGGUGCUGAUAACUUAUGACUCAACCAACGCAAGCCUUAAACUCCCUGACAUUUUAAUAUUGUGUGGUAGGAGCGGCCACCCCUCUGCUCUGAGUCUCAGUGGAGAAAAAUCCAUGUGGUACCCCAGAAGGGAGUUUUAAUAAUUCAACUUUGCUGGUUGGCACAAUGACUUGAUAGAGAAGGGGAGGGAGGCCGGUUCUUCUCGGGUAAGUGGGAGCAGCUCUGGUCUGGGCUCCGAUGGCUCCCACGAGCACCCGCUCCAUCCUGUCUUUCCUCUCCCCUGAAUCUUUAAAAACUCCAAUUCCUGAUCCCUUGGUGACAGAUUGUCCAGGAAGGAUUUGGGGCUGGGGUGGAGGGGCUGCCUGUGGGUGCCGUCAUGAAUUCUUGAACUCUCUGUUUCUCAGUUUUCCCGUUUGUAAAACAAGUGGAACUGGCUCGGGCUUUGAGUCAGACAGCCUGGGUUCAAAUCCCGCCUCGGCCACUGAAUAAUUCUAGGUAGUAAACUGAAUAGUAAUUCUUACUGGUAAGAUGGGUAUGAUCACGAACAGCUUUUAGGUCUGUUGAGCCUUCACCCAGCACAUCUCUUGUUGGUCUUAGAGAUGGUUGGUGCGGUCUCCCUACCCUUCCUAGGGUUUUAAGAGGAGCAAGGGAGAAAGCAGAUGUGGGUGUGCUUUGGAACGUUUACUCUGCUCCAGACAUGCCUGGGGUUCAGAGCUCUGGCAGGACUGUUCUUUGGAGAGGACCCAGGGUGAUGGCUCCGCGAGGAAGUGGGUCAGCUCCACCCACUUUCCUGGUCUGCCCAGUGGAGAGCAGGGAGCCUGCUGUCCUCUGUCCUCUCCUUACAACACUACACAGCAAGGAUGGGGCUCCAGAAGGAAGCUCACAGCAGCAGGGGUUGUAGGGCAGAGAUCUGUCCACAAGCUCUGUCUCUCUGGCCUGAAGAAAGGCCCCUACUGUCCUGUGUGUGUAUGCCACUGUGGUGGUGUAUUAGUUAUCUCUUGCUGUGUAACAAAUUAUUUCACAAUUUAGCAGCUUAAAGCAACACCCAUUUUUUAAUCUCACAGCAUCUGUGGGUCAGGAGUCCAGGUACAGCUCAGCUGGGUCCUCUGCUCAGGGUCUCUCACAGACGAUGAUCAACGCGCUGGCCGGGGCUGUGGUCUCAUCUGAAGGUUCAUCCGGGGGAGUGAGCUUUCACGCUCACUCAUGUGGUUGUUGGUGGGAUUCCGUUCCUCAUGGGCUGCUGGACUGAGGGCCUCCGUUCCUCACUGACGGCUGAUCAGAGGCUGCCCUCGGUUCCAUACCUCGUGGGCUUCCUCAUUAGGACAGCUUGCUUCCUAAAGCCAUCAAGAGAGAGUGUCUGCUAGCAAGCAGGAAGUCACAGUCUCUUAUAAGAUGUGACACAUGUAAUCACAGAUGUGACAUUCCAUCAGUUUUGCUGUAUUUUCUUCCUUGGGAGCAAGUCUCUAGGCCCAGCUCAUACUCAAGGAAGUGUGUGUGUGGGGGCUACACAGGGUAUGAAGACCCUGUGUAACAGAGGAUCAUUAGGGCCAUUUUAGGAACUGGCCUACUGUGAGAGGUCAGCCUCUGGAACAGCAUCUUAGGCCCCAAGGUGCCCAAGGUAUCGGGAGGCCUGGUACCUCUGUUUCCUACAUCACCUCACCCCAGGGAAGGCCACAGAUGUCUCAAAGCCUUUCGUUUCAUCUUCACAGCACCUUUGGGAGGCUGGAGAUCAAACACUAGCCCCAUUUUGCAGAGGAGGAGGCUAUGCCCAGAGAGGGCAAGCUUGCAAAGCGGCCGUCCAUGACUCCAGGGCCUCUCUUCUGACUCAGAGGAGGUGAGGGUGCUUCCUUCCUGAGCCAGCCUCCCCACAGCUGUUGGACUGGGGGCCUCAACCCCUCGCUGGCUGUUGCCGGGCGGGGUGGAGACGGCGUCUUUGAGGUGGUCUGGGCAAAGGCCACUUCAGCAGUUCCUCACAUGGGAACAGGGCUGAAGGAGGCUCUCCUUCGGGCUGGGACCAGAACUUGUGCAUCCUCAGCCUGGCUCUCCACCAGCUCCCGUUCAUUGGGAAUGUCCCAGCACGUCCCCGGGCAGACCUCCUUUCCUCUCUGGGUUUACGUUUUCCCACUGAUGUUUCAAGGGCCGCUGGCCGCUUGAUGCCUCGUGGUAGCGUGCAUGGAGACAUGACCACGGGUGGGGAACGGGUGGGGUGAGGCCAAGGCCAGGAGACAGAACCCACCCCGUUGACGUUUCUGUGUCUUUCUUUGGUCUCCUGGGGUCAGGAGGAGUAGAGAUCCCAGGUGAGAGCAUUUGUGGCCUCCAGCCCUCUAUACUUGAUCUUGCCAUAUUUGAAUCCAGGUGGACGGCCCCAUCCCUGGCUGCUCCCAGGCAGAGCCUCAACUAGGAGGCAGAGGGGACCCUCGGGGUAGGCCCAAAGCCUGGAGGCCAGUGAACGAGUCACAGCCUCAGACCUGAGAGGACCCUGGUCAAUGAUCUCCUUUUAUGGAUGGGUGGGGGGUGGGGGGACGGAGGCACCAAGAAGCAUCUAUUUCCUCUCUCAGCUGACGUUGAGAUACUCAGCUGAAAUCUCAGCGGAGAUACUUUCUGAGUAGAAAAGUCUGGGGCCCAGCAGAGGCUGCAUCCAACCUGGGAUGGGACAUCAGGGCUGAACCCCAUCUCUUUGCCUGUCAGUCAGAGGCUGUCUCUUGCAGGUGGCUUCUCUCACCCCAGCCAGAAGCUGUUUCCCGCCUGCCAGGCAUCUUGGCAGGGGCUAGGGCUCCGGAGGAGCAGAGGGCAGUGGGCAGGGCUACCUCGGGCACCAGGUCCUGACCCGGUACUCAGCCCAAGUGCAGAGUGUGGUGUUUUGACCUGCCUUUUUGCCCCGAGGAUGUGUUCACGCUACUCUUUGAUCCUCAGAAUGCUUUAUCAGAGCGGUGCUAAAAUACGCCUUAUAUAACGAAAAUAACAUCUCCCUAGUAUUGCUGAAAAUGUAAAGGAACAAAAUGAUCCAGGAAAAAACGGAAGUUGGUUGAAAUCAUGAACGCAGAGCAAAACUGGCAGCAGCUAAGACUGCACCUGGCAAAAUGUGUUAUUGACUAAAAAUUGACAGAGGAAUCAAAUCUUCCUGAUAAAAUUUAUCUGCCGGAGUUGGCUCAGGAAAUAUUUUCUGGUAGAAAUAAUUACUACAAAAGAAGUCUCAGCAACAGUGGAAGUUCUCAUUUGUAAGAUUUGAUUUGAGCCCAAAGUUGAUCAUAAACCAAAUAGUCACUUAAAAAUAAUUUAUCCCAAUGAAAAUAAUUUCAAUAAAAUGAAAAUGGAGAAAGAGGAAGAAAUGGUUUAACUCUAGUGAAUAGAAAGUUGAUCAAGGCAUUGAACUGACUUAAUGAAGCUCCCUAAGAACUACUUUCUUGAUCAAAAAUCAUCAAUGUUGAUACAAUUCUUAUUAACAUAUAGGUGUUAGGGGCUAGCCCUUAGUAGAUGUUUAGUAAAUAUUUGUUGAGUGACCUGUGAGUGAAUGAGUUAACAGGUGAAGGAGGGUGGGAGGAGAGCAGAGAGAAUCAUAAGAGUUCCUUUAACCCAGAGAGAGGGCACAUUUCCAUUUUAUUAAAAUCAUUUGGGCUGCUCUGGAAUGUUUUUCGACACCACCAAGCUAUUCUCCAAUUCUCAAUGGUCACCUACUGUGUGUCCUACAAGUUUAACUCAGUUCUGACACUGUCUACCUAGAGAUGACAGGUUAAGGGCUCAGUCCCACCAGACUGCUUCCACUUCAGAGGCCAUUCGCAAGUCCAGGUUGUCACCUGUACUUCUGACCAACACACGGUAAAUCGGGGUUCACCCCCUCCUCAGGUGAGAUAGUUUCCUAGAAUGGCUCACAAAGCUCAGGGAAACAUUGCCUUACUUUUACCAGUUUACUCUAAGGAAAUGAUAAAGGAUAGAGAUGAACAGGUAGAGGAAGAGGUACCUAGGGUGAGGUCUGGAAGGGUCCCGAGCACGGCAGCAGCGUCUGUCCCUGUGGAGUUGGGGUACAUGUGGACAUGUUCACCAACCCAGACCUUAUCAGAUCUUGUAUAGAACUUCUUCACUGGCCACUCCCCAGCCUUUCCUGGAAGUGAGCGGGUGAGGCAGAAAGUUCUAACCCUCUAAUCGUUUGGUCUUUCUGGUGACCAGCCCCAUCCUGAGGCUACCUAGGGCCCUCACCCUAAGUCACCUCAUUAACGUAAACUCAGAGGUGCUCAAAAGGGACUCCUUAUGAAUAACAGAAGAUACUCCUAUCACUCAGAAAAUUCCGAGGAUUUUAGGAGCUCUGUGCCAAGGAACCUGGAACAAAGACCAAAUAUAUUAUUAUACUCCAUCUACUCUGUGGAGAAUAAUUGGAGGGGAUAAAACUAGGGGCAGAAAAUAAAAAUAAAAAACAGCCAUGAUGUAGAAGGGAAGUGUUCUUCCUUUGGAGCUUUAUAGUGUGACCACUGUAGUGUGACCUCCAGCCUCAGACUGCCCCCCGCACCUUCCUUCCAGCAGUUUCCUUCCUUCCAAGCUUGCAGUCUGGGCCUGGGGCAGCAGCGGGGGGAUGCAGAUGGUGGUCCAGAUGGUCAGAGAGGAGGCAGUUGAAGUCCGGGAAAGAAAUGGUGGAGGGCAUGACUAGAGCUGUGGCCUUGGGAAUGUGGCGGGCUCCUCUGAGGUCUCCUGGUGGUCAAGAUCUUGGCUAGAGAGUCUCAGCUACCAGCAGCAGGGCCUGAGUUUCUGGAGUUGAGCCCCAGGGAAGGUGGACUCUGACUGCAAGCCUGUCCUCACCCACUCUUGUCCCGGAGGCCCCUGCUGGCCCUGCCCAGCUUUGGCCGGAGGCUUCCGCGGCCCCUACACGUCCUCUUCUGUGGCUGCCCUGCGACUGGACCAAGAUCCUGGCUUUCCAGACUCCAAAGGAGUGAGCCAAAGCCUGUAGGCCUGAGGCAGGCGGGAGCACACCGGGGCAGGGAAACGGCAAGUCCAGACCUGCCCAGCUACCCACUUCUGAACUCCUGUGAUCUCAUGUGAUGUGUCUGUGAAAUGUUUCGUGGCCUUCCCAGCUCCGGGCCGGUUUCCUUUCUCAGACGGGCUUCCACGAAAGCUCCUGAUUCUGGGAAAGAGCUAAGUCUCUCUACCCUUAUCUGUGUCUAAUACAGUCCUCCCCCUGAUUAUAUAUGUGAGUAGGACUGGCCCGAGCAGAGCGGAACCUGUGUCUAAGAGCACUUCCGCGGGGAGCUGAGUCUAAGGCCCUGCCUCUGCAGUGAACUGUCCCUCGGGGCAUCUUUGUACAGCGCUGCUCCUGCCUGGCUGCCCAGGGCCUAGAGAGCCACCCAGCCCAUUCCACACUGGCCACACUCUUCUCCCCAUGGCCCACAUUCCCCGGUGCUCUGCCUUCCCUUCCAGGAUGAAGGCUUUGGAUUCUUUCCCUCAAGAGGAGAGAAACCCCAAUAGCGUCCGUCCAGACCCCAGAUUCACGGGCAGCUGGGUGCACCCUGCCACCCAGUCAGCGUAGGCCUGACUCCCUCUGCCGGCCACAUGCUUCAUCUUGAGUCACCCUCUCAGAUGAGCCACAGUGGGUGCUGCCCUAGCCUGGGCACUGAACUCUCUCCCUCCAGCAGUUUUCAUUUGACCCAAAGGCAGCCCUGUUGCCUUCCUUCCUGGCCUACGUGGCCUGCAUCUGAGCUUGCACACCGUCUUGGGCGGGGCUCUCAGGCCCUGGGAGAGGAUAGCACUCUUUACUGAACCUCGGCUGGGGGCCUGGAGGACCUCACUCUGACCCUAUUCAUACUGCAUGUACCGUAACUUGUGGUACCCAAUGUAGGACAGGCUUGGGGUCUAAAACAGGGACCCUCCCCAAGAGUGUGCCCAGUUUGCAGGUGGGGCAUAGGCCUCGGAGGAUGCAGAAAUUUCAACAGAGAUCUCAGAAGACAAAACACGAGUGUAGUAGUGGAAGCGAAUGGGUCAGAGAAGAGUGAUGGAUCCAGUAGGGUCUGAGUUGCCUAGGAACAGGGCUGGAAGAGUGGGCACAGUCAGAUUUCUGGUUGGGAGGGACUGGGGAGGGAAGCAAGGGGGUGCUCUGGAGCCCUUCCCUAUGAAGUAGCUGGGGCGAGGUAGGGUGACCAGGGCCCGGCCUCUUUGAGGGCUGGCUGCUGGACCUCCCAGGACCCCUCUCCUGACCCCAGGACUUAAUUUUUUAUGAACUGGUUUCUCCUGUUCUCAAAGGAAUAUUUGUUUUGUUGUUUGUUUGUCUUGCCUUUCUUUAUAACAACUUUAUUGAAAAUAAUUUGCAUGCCACCAAAUUAACCUUUUAAAAAUGUGCAUUUCAGUGGUUUUUAGUAUAUUUAGAGUUGUGUGACCAUCACCAUUAUCUAAUUCAAGAACAUUUUCAUCACCCUAAAAAGAGACUCCAUGUUCAUUAGCAGUCAUUCCCCAUUCCCCUCCUCCCUGGCAACCACUAAUUUACUUUCUGUCUCUCUGGAUAUGUCGUAUAAAUGGAAUCAUACAAGAUGUGGUCUUUGUGGCUGACUUUUUCCCUAGCAUAGUGUUUCCAAGGUUCACCCAUGUCGUAGCGUGUCUCAGUACUUCAUUUCUUUUCAUUUCCCAAUAAUAUUCCAUUAUAUGUAUAUACUACAUUUUAUUCAUUCAUCAGUUUAUGGGCAUUUGAGUUGUUUCUCCUUUUUAGCUAUUGUGAAUAAUGCUGCUGUGAACAUUCACAUACAAGUUUUUGUGUGGACAUAUGUUUUCAUUUUUCUUGGGUAUAUAUUUAGGAGUGGAAUUGCUGAGUCAUAUGGUAAUUCUAUGUUUAGGGAUAUUUGUUUUUCACUUUAAAUAAACAGUACAAGAGUGUGUAGGAGAGACACCAUCCUUGGCUGUCUGAGCUUUGGGAAAGGAGGUUGCCUGCAGCCUGGUCCCCUGGGCUCCUAGGGGUCAGUGGAACCUUGGGUAAGUCCUUUCCCCUGCUGGCUUCAGUUUUCUGAUCAGUGAAAUGGGAUUCUUACGGAUCCCUGCUUGCCUCAAGGGCUUUUGUUAGUAAUUACUACUUACAUAGCGUGUCAAGGAUGGCAAAGCCUUCCGCUUGUUUUAGCUGCUUUGCUUCUUUGGCCCCACAACUUGGGUAUUAUUACUCGAGUUUUGCUGAUGGGGAAGCUGAAGCUCAGAGAGGCUAAAGAACUUGACUGAGUUUACAUUGUGGGUUAAUGGCAGAACCUGAACUUGAACCCAGACUCAUCAGAGUUCAGGUCCCUGGCCUGAACUCCUGUCUCACCUGUGUCUCUGGGCAAAGCAGGGCAUUAUGCAAGGGAGAUCCCUGUCUGAGCAACCAUCACAUUCUAUUCUCCAUCCUGGGUGCUGGGAAGUCAGGGCCCAGACGUGGCAAGGUGUGGGCUCUGAGGCAGAAUGGUGCUCUAGGAGUCAGGACUUUGCAAAAGUCCCCUUUUGCCUGUGUGACUUUGGAUAAAUUGCUCCACCUCUCUGAGCCUCAAUUUCCCCCCAUCCACAAAAUUGAAACAGUAAUUAUUACUCAAAGCACUGGAAGGGGAACAUGGUAAGAUGUUGUAUAGGAAAUGCCAAGCACGAUGCUGGGCAGGGAGAAGGUGUUAGGUUAUAGAACACCCGAGGAGGGCUGGAAGAGGGUGCAGAGUGCCGCGGGACCUUUGAGGAGAAGCGGCUGGAUUCUGGGCUGGUCAGAGCCGGUGUUAGGGAGGGAAGGUGAGAGAAAGUGGGCUGUGCCAGUGUUCUCCAGCCCGGGGCUGCCAGAAACCAGGAGGGGUUUCCAGGGGUUUCACAAAAACCUCCCGUCUCCAGGAGAGUUUGUAGACAGGCCCUGCGGGUACCAGCAGUCCUCACCCCCAGCCUAGCCCACAGCUGCCUGAGAGGGGGGCUUGCCUGACUGCCUAAGUUAACCCAAAUGGUAAGAAAACACUUUAAAUUUAUUGUGACAUUUGGAUUUAAUUAAAAAGUACACACUUAGGGAAGUAGAACAUAAUGGGGAGAGAGGCAGGGUGGCUUUUCCCCUCCUUUCUUCCCCAAACUAAUUAGCGUUGUAUUUUAAAUUGUUUAUGUGCCGCUAAUCAUCGUAAUAAAUCAUUUAUACUGAAAAAGACACAGUUGGCUGUGCCCGCCACGCAGGUUCCGCUCUCCGGGCUCUAUCGCGAACAAAUUGAUCUGGAAGUGAAUUUAUUAACCACUGGGGAAGAAAUCAUUAGUGCUUCCUCUAAACAUUCCCCAGGUACGCUUUAUUGCCGCAGUUUACGCUGUAACUAAAAGAGCAUUACCCAGGCCCAUGUUGUAAUUUCCUUACAGAGCUGGCAGCCCACUCCCAAGCCAGGGGGUGGGAGGGGUUCAGGAGUCCCUGCCUCCUCGCCCAUAAGUGGUCUGGUGACCCCAGCUCUUUCCCAGGGCUGCUCAUUCCAGAAGCAGCCCCUUGAGGUCUCUGCAGGCCCAAGGCCUUGGCUACCUUCCUGGUGCCUCUCAGAGGAAGAGUGGUUCACAGUCGAUCGUGUUUCUGUCUCGGGCGUGUGGCUUACAGUUGGGGGUUUAGCCUCGGGUCUGGAGAACUGAGGGGCAGGGGCUGGGAGUCAUUGAGGUCCUACAGGCUUGUUGUGGACCAGCUUCCCCACCCGGAGGUGGGAAGGCGUCAGCGGUAGGCUGAUCGUGCGCUUAGGGGAACCAGCGUGGCUGAGCAGGAACCCUGGCAGGAACAGCGGCUGCUGGGAGCAUCCUCUACCUGCAGGCGCCCCAGGGCCCUCCUCCUGCGGGCCCUGGGCCCUCCUCCUAGGUUUGGCUGGAGCAGUCUGUUCUGCUCAGCUUCCCGCUGAGGCCCGCUGCCCCGUGUGUCCCCAGCCACCUCACAGGGCAGGCCCAGGAUGGUGCUGCGUAUGCCAUACAUGGUCUGACAGAUGACAGGCAGCAUGUCAGCUCCCUGGCUACAGAUACCCUGCCUCAGGUCGUGCAGCCUGUGGCCACAGCAGCCUUCCCAGCAGCCUGGCUACCCUGUGAUUGCUUUCUCUCCCUUGGCACUGGGGGCUUCAGACCACUCUCACUUCCCAGGGCCUGCACUCCAAGACCCUCCCAGCAGGCUUUCUCCCACCAGGUUUCUCGAAGGGAAAUUCACUUCUGAACCAAUACCUUCUCCCUAGGAGCCCAUGGCUGCUCUGGGAUACAAAUCCCUGCCUGUCUGACUCCAAAGCUCAUGUUCUUAACAGCUUCAUCCACUGGGGGCCCAUGAGCCUCCUCAGCCAGGUUGGGGGUGCAUGGGGAUCUAGCUCACGUGGGCCUUGCCUUCGGCUCUUUUCAUCUGGGUCUGCAAAGCAAGGGGGAGCAGCCCCCGAGGCCUCAACAGGAAGCCCCAGGACGGCACCUCAGGCAAGUACCCCAAGGUCGUGCUGGGUCCACAAGAGCCAGAGGCGCUCCUGUCCCUGCGGCUCCCGGGGUCUUUCUCCCAGCUCCCUCAUGCUCCCCUCCCUCACGCAGCCCAGUGGCUAGCAGAUGGGCCCUGGCUGCUUUGAGAAGCAGGCAGGACCCAGCAGCUGGCUAGACCAAGCCUGCCUGGAGGGUCCCCUCCUUGUGUCUAGAGAACACAUUUAAAAGUUUGAAUUCAAAAUUGAUUUUGAAGGGCCCUAAUCUCCGAUCCCCUGGCGCUCAUGGUGUGUCUGCAGCUCCUGCCAGACUCUCGUUUUCUGGUUCAGCGCAUUGGUGCUCGCGUCUCUGUUGCUGUGAAAUUGAGACUCGUCUGAGAGUCGGUGCCCUCCUCCUCUGUGGAGACGGCAGGCCCCUUGGGAGCCAUGUUUCAUUAGAUGGGUGACGUGGGCUUUCCGGGUGCCCAGGGAGCAGUUGAGUUGCUGUCUGGGGAAUGCAGCUUCCAGACGCUCCCGCUAGUUCCCAUAGCUGUGCAGCUCCAAGCAGCAUCCUGCCUAGGGCUCUGGGGGCUAGCUCCAGCAGCCCAGGAUGGGAUGGGGCUUGGAGGAGGCUACAGAUAGAGAAAGACUUGGGACCUGGCGAUUUUCUGUAGCAAACUUCAGGGGCUUUUUCCUCCUACUGGUCCUCAGAGGCUCAGACUAGGCGGGGAGUGGGUUACAUCGUUAAGCCAGAAGGACCCUCAAGUGGAGAGUGGCAGGGGCUAGGUCUGUGCCAGGGAGGAGCGGUGCCCUGGCCACAGGUACAAAGGGAAAGCCUGAACUGCCAAGGUUACACAGAUGCCUGAGCUCCAGGACUCCACUGCAACCCGAGAGUUGGGAUGUAGUAUUUACGCAUGACGAGAGGCACUGAGGGGGGCUUCCUUCCUCAUGGGUCUGCAGGGCUGAAGGACAGGAUUCCUGCCCCUUUAUCUAAGGAGUAGAGGGUUUAUAUCUGCACAGGAGCAGUCAUUUCUCAGCUGGAGCCCUGGGGUGGGCCUAUUCAGAUUCCAGAUAGUGGCAGGCGGGACCUAGGCACUGCCACAGUUGAAUCUGCCUUUGUUUCUUAGAGCUGCGUAGCUACAGGUGUGUGGCACAGGGCAGCACCAGGCCAGAUUAAGGGUCCCAUCUCUGGGGAGCCUGCCCGUCUGCGUCAGCCCACUCUGCCCAGCAGACUCUUGCCAGUAAUAUCUGGAUGGAUUCCGUUCAGUCUCUUCAUUCAUUAACUGAACUGAUUAAAAAACUGGUUAAAAAGUGACCGCUAUGGGGUUCAACCCUGGGGACACAGUGGUGAACAAGACAGAGCCCCCAAAAUAGGCCUUCAUGGGGCUUACAUUCUUAUAAUAAAAUUCUUAAACAUUUUCUUAGGUAAAAUCACAAAAAAGUAAAACAGUUACAGAUUGUGGUAAAAAACUGAGAAGGAAAUGACCAGGGAGUCGUUUAAAUAAGGAAAUAAAGAGAUCAAGGCUGGCCUCUCUGAGAUGGUAUUUAAGCUGAAGCCCCCAAAUGAGAAGGAGCCAGGCACAUGAAGAGACAAGGAAGGGUGUUCUAGGAAGAGGGGAACAGCAGGUGCAAAGGCCCUGAGGCAGAAGGGAGGUCUGGAGUGUGGCUGAAGCACAUUGCGGGUGGAGGGGCAGAGGCCAGACCACAUAAGGAUAUCCUGGGCUUAAUGAAGGGUGUGGAUGGCAUUCCCAGCCCACUGGAAGAUAAGGAAGGGUUUCAAGCUGAGCAGUGACCUGACCUACUUUGUUUUGAAAGAUUUCUCCAGCUGCUAUUUGAAGCUGGAUUGUAGAUCCUAAACAAGGAGCUGGUGGGGUGCUUAGCUGAUAGUGCAGUGAGAGAUAGUGGUGGCUCUGGAAAUGGAGAGAAGCAGGUGGGACGGGGUGGGGACCAAGCAGGGAAGAGGGGAUGAGGAUGAUGGAAGAUCUGAAGAUGACUCUGAGUUUCUGGCCUGAGCACCCGGCUGGAUGAUGGUGUCAGGACUGUGAGGGGAAGCCUGGGUAAGGGUACAGGUUUUGGGGGAGGAGAUCUAGAGUCCUAUUUUGGAUCUGUUGCUUUCUAGAUGUGUCUGGGGCUUUACAGAGACAACCUGAGGAUGAGAAGAGAAGGCCUACACCCGUGCCGGAGGAGCACACGUCGCAGAUAACUAUGCAGUUAACGUAGGCGUCAUUCCCUGUGACAAACUCCAAAGAGCACAUGCAGCUUCUGAUGUUUCAAAGCGCCCCUCAGAUUCUGUUUGCAGCUGCUCCCGUGUCUCUCGGUACAUUGUCCAGGUCCCCUUCAAGUUAUCGACUGGGUCCCCUAAAGCCGUUGCCCAACAGCAGGCUGUGCUGGGUUCGGCUUCCCUCAGCAAGGAAGACCCGUGAGGUACGUGUGGAAACUCCUCAGCCCCUCCAUCUCUCCACACUGGAAGGUCCCCGUGGGCUUAGGCAUCUGGACCCACCAUUCCUCAGGAUGUUUGUCUCUGCUAGAACCUGCUGCAGAAAUGCCUGCUGCUUCGGACUGCUGCAUAGGAAAUGGGUCCUCUGGGGGGAUACUGGGGACCAGAGGCCCAUCCUUCCCUGAUUUGUCCCUGUAAGGUGUGUUUCAGAGCUGCCUUCUUUUGGCAGGGCCCAGUUUGGGUCCAAGAAGAAGUUCACUUACCCCAUUGCUUAGGGAAAAAAAUGACACGAUGCUGCCUCUAGAGAGAGCAGGAAGGGGGUGGGGCAUUUCCUGGCCAGUGGCCUGGGUCCAAAGCCCUGCUUGGCCACUCACAGGAUGCCCCUGGGCCGGUUGUGUGAUUUCCCUGACCUCAGGGUCAUGGUGAGAGAGAGCAUUAGCGAGUAUAAAGCAUUUGGCCCGUAGUAGGCAUUCGGUGCGAGGUGUUGUCAUGUGGUCAAACGCCGCAGUUGUCUGGGGAUGGGACUGGACAGUGCUUUCCGUCGGCCUCUACUGUGGUGAUCUGCGGAGACCAGGAGGAACUUGGCACUUCAGAGACCGCAAGCGUUUGCUGGACCCCCUUUAAAUUUCUUACCUCCAGCUCCCCCCACACCCUCCCCUCUCCCCUCAUUCACACAGAGCCCCUGGCCGUUGACGGAGGCUCCCCGACUCUGUGGCUCUGGGUCUGGAGCCACCAGCUCUCCCCUCACAGCCCAGCUCUCCCCAGUGAGGCUUCUUCAUCUCUGUCAAGGCUGCGAUGCAAACAUCUCUGCUCUGCCUCUGCAUGGCCUUCCUGCUCCCCUCCCAGCCCCUGUGCUUUGUCCUUAGAUUCUGGUCUGUGUCCCCUUUUCUGGCCCUGCCAGAAGCCCUUUCAAGAUCCUACAGCAGCAGGAGCUUCUGAAGGAACAACAGGUGAGAAGCAGUAGCCUGUGACCCACCAGAGCCUGGAGACAGUGCACUGCCUGUCAUUCCUCCUGGUCUUAGUCCGGGCCCUGCUCUAAGCUUGCCCCCCCGAGUGCCGCCCUAGCAUCACCUGUGUCCAGGUUGCACAGAUGCUGCCCCAGCAAACCUUCUUCACCUGGGCUGUUCAGGGAGGCCACGGGGUGUGUUCUGGGUGAGAAACGGAACUCUGGAUUCUGGCAGGCCAGGGCUCCAAUCCUCCCCCUGCCACCUGUCAGCUGUGUGACCUCGGGUAAGGGCCUGAACCUCCCUGGGCCUCUGCCGAGUGCGGUAAUCAUUUAGUGCCUCAGGGUUAAAAUGAGGGUUCACUGAGACAACAGAUGUAGUGAACAGCGGGUAAAUGGUGGGUUUUAUGAAGAGGCAUAUAAAGUCUUGACGGAGACUGAGGGGUCUCCUUCUUAGGUUUUUGGUGUUGCUGAGGUAUCAUAUAUAUGCAGUAGAAGGCACAAGUCUCAAAUGUUCAGUUCAGUGACGUUUUCUGUUACGUAUGCACCCAUUUAAACACCACCCAGAUCAAGAUAAAGGACAUAUCCAGGACCUCAGCAGGCUUCCCCACACCUCCUGCCAGGUGAUGAUACACCCCAUUAUUCUGACAUGGAUCACCAUGGAUCGGUUUUCUGUUUGGGAAUUACAUAUAAGUAGAAUGGUACAGUAUCUACCUUUCUGUGUCUGGCUUCUCUUGUUCCACAUUAUACUGUCUGAUUAAUGCACAUUGUGGUGUGUACUGGUGAUUCGUUCUUUAUCAUUGCUGUGUACUAUUCUAUUGCAUGACCAUAGCAUAGUUUAUUAUCCAUUUUACUGUUGAUGGACAUCUGUGUAGUUUUCAGUUUGGGGCUAUUAUGACGAAAACUGCUACAAACAUCGUCGUACAUCUCUUUCGGUGGAUGUAAGCUCUCAUUUCUGUUGGGCGCGUACCUAGGAAGAGAAUUGGGGGGGUCAGCAGAUGUGCAUAAAUGUUCUUAGUUGAUUGUUUUUAAGCUACUGUGUCCCACAUCGUUAUAAGUAUUUCAUGUCCGUUAUCUAAUUCAGUCCUCCAAAUAAUCCUUUAAAGUAGUCUGUUCUCAUUUAGCAGGUGAGUAUGUUGAGGCAGAGCUGGGAAGUGAUGGAGUCAGAAUUCCAGCUGAGGCCAUCUUGUCUGCAGGGACCACCGUCAGUGUGUACCCGCCUGCCUCUUCUCUCGGAGCCCCUUGAGGGGCACUGCUAGAGUCAAAGGGGCCCGUCCCCCCGCCGUGCUGACCGCCAUCCCGGGAGCCAAGCCCCCGAACCCCUAGGGGAGUUGGAGGCCACAGGAACCCCACUUCCCUCCCUCAUCAAAUCCACUGAGCAGCUACCAGCGAGGGGCUGUGCACAGAGGCGGUAAUGAGCGUGCUCUAGGUGGCUGUAGCCGUGCGCUUCAACAGUUGUUCUCGUUGGCUUUUGAUUCCAAAUGAGUAGGAAAUGCUAUUAGUUCAGGCCUGGCCUGGUGCGUGGCAAGGCCCUGGGAUAGGAGUGCAGUGAGACGAGAAAUUGUGGAGAUAAAACUGGUGUGAAAUGGAGGCCUUCGCACGAGGCUGGAUGUGUCCGUGCGAAAUGAAGUUACUUCUGAGAAAACGAGAUUUAAAGAGAUUCUGCAAAAUUAGAUUACACUUUCAAAUUUCCUUAUUAAACAGGAUUGAGGCCGAGGAGGGGCCGCUGGCUGGCUCUGUUUGGGAUCCUACUCUGCAGUUCCAGGCCCGGGUGUGGGCCCCCCGCUGGGUACAAGCACCUUGCAGGUGGCAGGGACCCAGACCCUACCCCUCCAGCAGCUGACAUGGGUGUGACGAUUGUGGGACUGAUCACUUCUGGAUAAUUUCCCCUGCUUUGCCUGGGUCCACGUGGGCGAAACCUCAGGGCUUGUGCUCCUCCAUUUCCUGGGGCAAGUGGAAUUAAAAACAGAGCACCA